rnacentral:misc_RNA from 1 species
AACACUGUUAACCUGCGGUACCUGCGGAGGGAUCAUUACCGAGUUUACAAACUCCCAACCCUAUGUGAACCUUACCAAUCGUUGCUUCGGCGGGCUUAGCCCCCGCGCCCUCGCCGGCGCCGGGAGAAAGGCGCCCGCCGGGGACCCCAAACCCAAUGUUUUUCAUGCAGUAUUUCUGAGUGGCAAACGCAAAAAUAAAUCAAAACUUUUAACAAUGGAUCUCAGAUCGGAAGAGCACAC